AUUGAACGCUGGCGGCAUGCCUUACACAUGCAAGUCGAACGGCAGCACGGGUGCUUGCACCUGGUGGCGAGUGGCGAACGGGUGAGUAAUACAUCGGAACGUACCUUAUCGUGGGGGAUAACGCAGCGAAAGCUGUGCUAAUACCGCAUACGCCCUGAGGGGGAAAGCGGGGGAUCGAAAGACCUCGCGCGAUUAGAGCGGCCGAUGCCUGAUUAGCUUGUUGGUGGGGUAAAAGCCCACCAAGGCGACGAUCAGUAGCUGGUCUGAGAGGACGAUCAGCCACACUGGGACCGAGACACGGCCCAGACUCCUACGGGAGGCAGCAGUGGGGAAUUUUGGACAAUGGGGGCAACCCUGAUCCAGCAAUGCCGCGUGAGUGAAGAAGGCCUUCGGGUUGUAAAGCUCUUUUGUCAGGGAAGAAACACCGGCUCUAACACAGUCCGGGAAUGACGGUACCUGAAGAAUAAGCACCGGCUAACUAGGUGCCAGCCGCCGCCGUAA
rnacentral:rRNA from 1 species